CCUACGGGAGGCAGCAGUGAGGAAUAUUGGUCAAUGGGCGCGAGCCUGAACCAGCCAAGUAGCGUGAAGGAUGACUGCCCUACGGGUUGUAAACUUCUUUUAUAAGGGAAUAAAGUGAGGCACGUGUGCUUUUUUGUAUGUACUUUAUGAAUAAGGAUCGGCUAACUCCGUGCCAGCAGCCGCGGUAAUACGGAGGAUCCGAGCGUUAUCCGGAUUUAUUGGGUUUAAAGGGUGCGUAGGUGGGUUGUUAAGUCAGUGGUGAAAGUUUGCGGCUCAACCGUAAAAUUGCCAUUGAUACUGGCAGGCUGGAGUACAGUUGAGGUAGGCGGAAUUCGUGGUGUAGCGGUGAAAUGCUUAGAUAUCACGAAGAACCCCGAUUGCGAAGGCAGCCUACCAAGCUGUGACUGACAUUGAUGCUCGAAAGUGUGGGUAUCAAACAGGAUUAGAUACCCGUGUAGUC
rnacentral:rRNA from 1 species